rnacentral:rRNA from 1 species
AGAGUUUGAUCCUGGCUCAGAUUGAACGCUGGCGGAACGCUUUACACAUGCAAGUCGAACGGUAACGCGGAGAGAAGCUUGCUUCUCUCCGGCGACGAGUGGCGAACGGGUGAGUAAUACAUCGGAACGUGUCCGCUCGUGGGGGACAACCAGCCGAAAGGUUGGCUAAUACCGCAUGAGUUCUACGGAAGAAAGAGGGGGACCCGCAAGGGCCUCUCGCGAGCGGAGCGGCCGAUGACUGAUUAGCCGGUUGGUGAGGUAACGGCUCACCAAAGCAACGAUCAGUAGCUGGUCUGAGAGGACGACCAGCCACACUGGGACUGAGACACGGCCCAGACUCCUACGGGAGGCAGCAGUGGGGAAUUUUGGACAAUGGGCGCAAGCCUGAUCCAGCUAUUCCGCGUGUGGGAUGAAGGCCCUCGGGUUGUAAACCACUUUUGUAGAGAACGAAAAGACACCUUCGAAUAAAGGGUGUUGCUGACGGUACUCUAAGAAUAAGCACCGGCUAACUACGUGCCAGCAGCCGCGGUAAUACGUAGGGUGCGAGCGUUAAUCGGAAUUACUGGGCGUAAAGGGUGCGCAGGCGGUUGAGUAAGACAGAUGUGAAAUCCCCGAGCUUAACUCGGGAAUGGCAUAUGUGACUGCUCGACUAGAGUGUGUCAGAGGGAGGUGGAAUUCCACGUGUAGCAGUGAAAUGCGUAGAUAUGUGGAAGAACACCGAUGGCGAAGGCAGCCUCCUGGGACAUAACUGACGCUCAGGCACGAAAGCGUGGGGAGCAAACAGGAUUAGAUACCCUGGUAGUCCACGCCCUAAACGAUGUUAACUAGUUGUUGGGAAGUAAAAUUCUCAGUAACGCAGCCAACGCGAGAAGUUAACCGCCUGGGAAGUACGGUCGCAAGACUAAAACUCAAAGGAAUUGACGGGGACCCGCACAAGCGGUGGAUGAUGUGGAUUAAUUCGAUGCAACGCGAAAAACCUUACCUACCCUUGACAUGUCAGGAAGCUCUUGUAAUGAGAGCGUGCCCGCAAGGGAGCCUGAACACAGG